rnacentral:sRNA from 1 species
UUUAUUAAAACCAUUCAGCUAGCAGAUCGAUUUGUUUUUUAGUCUCUGAUUUGCCGGUCGAUCGAUGUCAACAAUGAGCGACUACUUGGUCGACGUGCAGUUGUCACAAGCGACACCAUUUACAGAAUUAUUUGGAGAAAAGACUUCUUCGCUACUUUGGUAGAGAAUGGAGAGGCAUUGUUAUUACCAGUUGUUAAUUUUUUUUUUUGGAAAACGAUGACCGGAUGUCAUAUAUGGAUUUAAGUUCCAGAGGGCUACCCGUGUAUCAAGAAACAGCUCGUAAUCUUAAGAAAAAACUUAAGUUUACUUCUUUAGCAUCGAAUUUGUGUUCACUAGUCAUUGAAGAACAGGAACUUCAUAUACUUCAAGACUAGUAAACAAUCAAUAGAUCAUAGAUGUCAUGUCUUGCCUAUCGCUUUAACGUCACCUAUCAACUAGUGUAUCAGACAAUAAUACACCGCCUCCCCCUGCCACUCUCUUUCUGGAUUUUGCCUUUGCUGAGCCUCACCCUGUUUUGUGCUUCUUCUCCACGUUCUACUUUUCUUUGUCCUUUUGGGUACCAUUUCAGUGCCGUGGUACAUCUAAUUUUUUUCCAUCCUUGGAACAUGACCUUCCAGUUCUGUGUUAAAAAAACCCCAAAAAUUACCGGCUUGAAUUGAAAACAUCAAAUUGCUACAAGAACAACACAGAUUAAUGAUGCAAAAUUAAACAUAAACAAAUAUGUAAUGAUGAAGCAUUUGAAAAUAAAUUAACCUGCUUUUUAGCUUUAAAGAUCUAUAGUUGAUUUAUAAUUUUUGUUCAUGUUUAUACUUCUAUUUAAGAAUAUUGUACUGGUGUGAAUUUGGCAUUUACACACAUUAAUAAACAUACAUCAAUU